rnacentral:rRNA from 1 species
AACGAACGCUGGCGGCAUGCCUAACACAUGCAAGUCGAACGAGACCUUCGGGUCUAGUGGCGCACGGGUGCGUAACGCGUGGGAACCUGCCCUUAGGUUCGGAAUAACUGCCCGAAAGGGGUGCUAAUACCGGAUAAUGUCUUCGGACCAAAGAUUUAUCGCCCUUGGAUGGGCCCGAGUUGGAUUAGCUAGUUGGUAGGGUAAAAGCCUACCAAGGCGACGAUCCAUAGCUGGUCUGAGAGGAUGAUCAGCCACACUGGGACUGGGACACGGCCCAGACUCCUACGGGAGGCAGCAGUGGGGAAUAUUGGACAAUGGGCGAAAGCCUGAUCCAGCUAUGCCGCGUGAGUGAUGAAGGCCUUAGGGUUGUAAAGCUCUUUUACCCGGGAUGAUAAUGACAGUACCGGGAGAAUAAGCUCCGGCUAACUCCGUG